ensembl:misc_RNA Vault Vault RNA
GGGCUGGCUUUAGCUCAAUGGUUCCUUCGAAUACAAUGCUUACCAAUCACUCUUGCCCACCUGCAUAAGAGUGGUUCGAGACUCGUGGGCGCCUUCCAGCCCUUUA